CAAGAAUAAACCAAAAAUAAUCUGAAGAAAUUUCAUUCCUUCUGAGAGAGGCAAAUAGGAUGUAGAAACCCUGCCCAGCUGACUCAAAAUGAAAAGUCCAGAAGCAGUUGCCAAAACAUCUACCUCAAAGGGCACAUUUAAAUUGAAUGAGGAAUCCCAUCCCUACGUAAGGACCAAUGCUUUGGGACUGAAACACCAAUGAAAUGACAAAGCCUUUUGUUUUUCUAUUUUCACAGAGGGUUUUGAGUCAAAGGAUUUUUUCAACUAUUAGUUGUUCCAUGGGUACUAUUGAUCAAUGGAGUGGGAGAUACAGGUUGCCCCAACUAGAUGGGUCUUUCCCUGCAUGCUGGUGGAUCUCUCUGGCUGCACUGUUUCUGGUAGGAAUCUGCCCUAUAUAUUUUUGCUGCAUUAUUCCGCAAUCAGGGGGGCUCUGGUAAACAAACAGGCAGCUCACAAGUGAAGGACUGAUACCUUAUAGAUUCAUGGCAUUUCCAUCAAAAUUCAAAGAUCUAGGCUUCAAAGGGGAAAGGCGAAAUUAGGCAAUUUUGACCAAAUGAACAGCAUUUCAACAUCAAAGACAUAUAAGGAUGGGCAUUGUAGUUUUGAUGUUUGUAACAGAAGAAAAUUAGUGUUUGUUGAAUAUAGCUGGACUCUGUCUAGCGUUUCAGGAGAGCUUCCCUUUCUGAAGGAGCACUUGUGAGCUGAGGCGACCAGAAAACUUUCUGAAGAGUGGGGAGUUGACUGCUUCCAGAAAUAGAUUAUAAUCUGCAGUGAACCCUCAAACGCAUCUACUAUUUUUUUCAAAUUACAAUACUGCUUUAAUCAAAAAAACUACUUGGCCACUAUCACAAAAUUUUGACUAAAAAUAUAUAUAAAUAUUAAAAUGCUGAUAAUAAGUACUCAUGCCUUAUAGAAUUUGAAAAUUAAAAAUGCUAUUACACACAGAGUUGAAAGAAAUAGAAUUGGAAUAAGUAGCUUCUAUUAUCAUUUAUGAGAAAAGAAGAAAAUCUUAAUUGUGAUUAUUUGAAAAUCUUAUCAGAGAUCAUUGACUUAGCUGAUUUAAAAUGCACGUAAUUGGAAACAAAAACAGCUCUCAUCCUAGUUCUCUGGACUUUCAACCUAAGAACUUUUGAGGAGAAAACCCUACUGGUUUUCUUCAAGUAUGACAAUAGACUCAAUUAUUUCUUAUAAUUUAAACAAAAAUCAACUUACUAGACAAUCUUCAAGCCAACACUUUUAUAUAUAUUCAGCAAAGUUUGUGUGCAACAAUAACUAAACAGUUAGUAAAUUUCUCCCUUGCGUGGCAUCUGCACAUGUGUGCAAUGUAUACAUCUGGAUGCAAGCAGAAUGAAAGCCAUCUUUGUUAUUAGACCAGCCAAAAGAACCUUCGAAGGGCAGAUGAAAAUUCAUCCUCCCCAACAGUUUUGGCAAGCCAGCCAGAGAUAUUCCUGGCUUGGCACUGUUCACCCCAAAGCUGCUACAGUAGAAAGAUCCUGGGACCUCUGACAAGCGCCAGCAAAAGAAAUUCCUCUUAUUGUUCACAUCUGAUUGUUUUCCUGAUUGCUUGCACCAUAGGCCUAACUUUGGAAGCCCACCUGUAUCACCACCUCCUGAAAUGAGACACAACUGUUUAACUGGACUGAUCUAUUCUCAGGACUAAGAGAUUGGUUUGGUGAGAUGGAGCAGUCUACCAACUAAAAUUCUGGACUGUGAAACUUCUUUGAGAAGUUUCAAAGGCAGGACUGAAGAAGCUCAAAAUGAGCCUUCCCAAAAUAAGACACUUUUGCAUGUGCAUUAUUUUGAGCUAGGGGCACUGGAGACUGUGUGAGUUCAAGAGAAAACUUUGCCCCUCCCUUAACUACCUAGAAGAAUUUAAAUUGGGGGUCUUUCCCAGAAUAAGAAUUAUUACCAGAGAUAAGUUUUAUCUGAGUGAUCCAUCUGUAUGACAGGGAAAACAUCUAAUUACCAAACAUCUGCUCUUCUUCUUAUCAUUUUGUGAACUUCCCUCCUCCUCUUUGAAGCCCCAGGCCCCUAUACUUUUCCUUAGCUCAAGAUGGCAUUUAUAUCUCAUUUUACCUUUCUCUCUUGGAACCUCUUAUGUAUAUGAGGAUCCUGUACAUAUUAAAUUAAACUUGUUUUUCUCCUGUUAAUCUGUAUCAUGUCAAUUUGCUUAUUAGAUCAACCAACAGAUCCUUUGAAAGAGAGAGGAAAAUUCUUCCUCUCAAACAAUAGAAAUAAAUACAAAUGUUAAUUUAGAACUAGAAAUGGCACUUUAAAAAAAUGGUAUGUUCUAGAUGUAUUUAUCUAAAAUUAGAGGAAAAUGAUGUUCAGUUAUUUAUUACUAAAUAAAAUGUCAAUAUUUGUGUCAUUCAUAGUGGC
ensembl:lncRNA